rnacentral:rRNA from 1 species
AACGAACGCUGGCGGCGUGCCUAACACAUGCAAGUCGAGCGGGAAAGCCCGCAAGGGUGAGUACAGCGGCGCACGGGUGCGUAACACGUGGGUAAUCUGCCCUGAAGCUCGGGAUAACUCGCCGAAAGGCGUGCUAAUACCGGAUAAGACCACGGGAGCCUCGGCUCCUGCGGGAAAAGGUGGCCUCUGUAUACAAGCUAUCACUUCAGGAUGAGCCCGCGGCCCAUCAGCUCGUUGGCGGGGUAAUGGCCCACCAAGGCUACGACGGGUAGCUGGUCUGAGAGGACGAUCAGCCACACUGGAACUGAGACACGGUCCAGACUCCUACGGGAGGCAGCAGUGGGGAAUCUUGCGCAAUGGGCGAAAGCCUGACGCAGCAACGCCGCGUGUGAUGAAGGUCUUCGGAUCGUAAAGCACUGUCGGGAGGGACGAAUAAGGGCCGGGUGAACAAUCCGGUUCGAUGACGGUACCUCCAAAGGAAGCACCGGCUAACUCUGUGCCAGCCGCCGCCGUAAUAC